GUUACAUGACAGGACAGAAAACAUGAUUGAGAAGGCGGUUUUCUCAGGAAAAUGUUUAUUCAAUUCACUCUGGAUGUGCUGAUCCUGAGAUUUCCCCCAAAAUGGGAAACUCAACUUCGUAAGUCAUGGUAAUGAGAACUGUGCUCACACUCUUCCAU
rnacentral:snRNA from 1 species